UGGGGAAUAUUGCACAAUGGGCGCAAGCCUGAUGCAGCCAUGCCGCGUGUAUGAAGAAGGCCUUCGGGUUGUAAAGUACUUUCAGCGGGGAGGAAGGGAGUAAAGUUAAUACCUUUGCUCAUUGACGUUACCCGCAGAAGAAGCACCGGCUAACUCCGUGCCAGCAGCCGCGGUAAUACGGAGGGUGCAAGCGUUAAUCGGAAUUACUGGGCGUAAAGCGCACGCAGGCGGUUUGUUAAGUCAGAUGUGAAAUCCCCGGGCUCAACCUGGGAACUGCAGCUGCUACUGGCAAGCUUGAGUAUCGUAGAGGGGGGUAGAAUUCCAGGUGUAGCGGUGAAAUGCGUAGAGAUCUGGAGGAAUACCGGUGGCGAAGGCGGCCCCCUGGACGAAGACUGACGCUCAGGUGCGAAAGCGUGGGGAACAAACAGG
rnacentral:rRNA from 1 species